GAAAUGCGAUAAGUAGUGUGAAUUGCAGAAUUCAGUGAAUCAUCGAAUCUUUGAACGCACAUAGCGCCCUUUGGUAUUCCAAAGGGCAUGCCUGUUCGAGCGUCAUUUGUACCCUCAAGCUUUGCUUGGUGUUGGGCGUCUUGUCUCUAGCUUUGCUGGAGACUCGCCUUAAAGUAAUUGGCAGCCGGCCUACUGGUUUCGGAGCGCAGCACAAGUCGCACUCUCUAUCAGCAAAGGUCUAGCAUCCAUUAAGCCUUUUUUCAACUUUUGACCUCGGAUCAGGUAGGGAUACCCGCUGAACUUAAGC
rnacentral:misc_RNA from 1 species